AUGUUUCAGUCUUCACGUCCCCCUCCUCACGUUCACCCCGCACCCGCCGGUCCCAGCCGACCCCGCAAACCCGUCCUGCCACGGCGCCGGCGGGGCCCGCGUCUACGUGACGGCGGCGGCGAGGCGGGGGCAGGGGUCCCGGUCUCCGUCAGAGCGGCACCGCACCGAGUUGGCGACCCCAGCCGCCCCGAGCGCAGAGACGCGACACCCGCCGCGGAGCCCGAGCCACGGCGGGGGGGGGGGAGGGGGGGCGGCGCAGCGGCGCGAGGACCCCGGCUCGGCGCCCGCUUACCUGCGGUGGCUCAGCUCCCAACCCGCAACGGCGCCCGCGGGCGGCCGACGGGAGGCGGUGGCUGGACGGCGACGUCUCCAUGGCAACCGUGUGGCGCGUCACGUGGAACUUAGAGCCCAACUGCCAAAAAAGAAGUAUUAAAGUGCAAAGAAAGAUGGAGUGUGGCUGGGUUGGGCUGGGACCCAGGAAACCGGCUUCCAGUCUCAGGAACCCCCUGUGGUUCUGCAGGAGGAACAAGGGCAACCACUUCCUCAUCUAAGUUCCUUCGGCCUCUUUCUCAUCAGCCAAGCUUUGCCCCAUCCUUAACCAAGGCCCUACGAAGACUAGAUAGUUUCACUGGCCUAAGCACACUAGGAAUUUUCCUCUUUUCUGUGCCUUUCACCUGGCUUCCAAGUGAAUAAAAAUUUAGAAAGACAAGAACUGGAAUUUCUG
rnacentral:lncRNA from 1 species